CGAUGGGAAGGUAAAUAUAUGAAAUCAAACUCCAUCGCAGCUUAUAUGCGUCAGCAAUCUAUUUUUGUUUCGUGGUUUCUAUAGCUAGUUUUGUCAUGCAGAUAUAUGUCAAAAUUGAGAGAGCACGGUUGAUCAAGAAACUUGAAAAAAUAAAGGAAGAUCAGGAUCUUAUAGCAGAAGCUACUGAUUUGAUGCAAGAAAUCAGGGUUUUUUUGUGCUUAGAUCGCCAGGAUUAUGUCUAUGCACAUAUUCUUUCCAGGAAAAUCAGCCCCCAAGUGUGAUGCAUAUCCUUCCAAAGAGAAGAAAAAGCCUAAAGAAGCAAUGUAGGUAUAGGUAUUACUCACACAACAACGAUUACCUUGAGAUAAGUUGAAUAUAUAAGGCGAUAGAUGAGAUUCCAUCAGUGAAGGGAACCCAAAGCAGCAGAUGCUGAUGAAGGGAAACCCAGAGUUCUAAGGGAAAUCUGGUGGUGCUUAAUUCCCGAUUCAGAUACACCUUUAAUUUGCUUUAGGUUGCUGCUGAAACAAUUGGUCAAGUUGGAGAUUAUCCA